rnacentral:rRNA from 1 species
GACGAACGCUGGCGGCGUGCUUAACACAUGCAAGUCGAACGAAGUGGCGAACGGGUGAGUAACGCGUAAUCAACCUGCCCUUCAGGGGGGGACACCAGUUGGAAACGACUGCUAAUCCCGCAUACUGAAGGAGGGGAUUGCGUCUGAUUGGCUAGUUGGAGGGGUAACGCCCAACCAAGGCGAUGAUCAGUAGCCGGUCUGGGAGGAUGAACGGCCAAAUUGGGACUGAGACACGGCCCAGACUCCUAAGGGAGGCAGCAGUGGGGAAUCUUCCGCAAUGGACGAAAGUCUGACGGAGCAACGCCGCGUGAGUGAUGACGGCCUUCGGGUUGUAAAGCUCUGUUAAUCGGGACGCGGUACCGGAAUAGAAAGCCACGGCUAACUACGUGCCAGCAGCCGCGGUAAUUC